ACAAAAUAAAUAAAUAUUUUUAAUUGAGUUAGGGGUUAUAUAUAUAUAAAAAAAAUUAUUUUAAAAAAUGUAUUUAUAGUAUUUAUUUAAGAAAUAAAUUAAUAGUUUAUAUAGAUAGUAUUGUGAGAGAAAAAUAUAUUAAAGUUUGAUAAAGUAAAAUUUAAUUUUGUACCUUUUGUAUCAGGAGCUAUUAAAAUUUAAAUAUAAUUUUUUAUUAUUCUCGAAUAUAAAUGAGCUAAUUAAAUAAAAUUUUUUUUGUUGCAUAAAAAUUAUAAAUAUUUAAUUUGAUGUGAAAUGUAAUACGAAUUUAUAGAUAUCUAGUUUUUUUAGAAAUGAAUUUAAUUCAUAUAUUUAAUUAUAAUAUAUAUAUAUAUAUAUAUAUAUAAAUAUAAAUAAUUUAGGGGAUAAUCUUUAAAUUAAUUAAAUAAUUUAAAUUAUUAUUAGAAUAAAAAAAUUGGUCUUAAUAUUGGAUAAAUUAUAGAAAAAAUUUAAUAAUUUAUUUAUAUAUAUAUAUAUAUAUAUAUAUAUAUAAUGUAAAGAUUUAAUAAGUAAAAAUAUAUAGUUUUAUAAAAAAAUAAUAUUAAAUAAAAUAUUUUUAUAUAUAAUGAUAGUAUGAGUAAUUAAAUUAUUAAUAUAUAUAUAUAUAUAUAUAUAAUAUUAAAGAAUUCGGCAAAUUUUAUAUCCACCUGUUUAACAAAAACAUGUCUUUUUGAAAAUUAUUUAAAGUCGGCCCUGCUCCAUGAUAAUUUAAAUAGCUGCAGUAUUUUGACUGUACAAAGGUAGCAUAAUCAUUUGUCUUUUAAUUGAAGGCUGGAAUAAAGGGGUUGAUGAGAUAUAAACUGUUUCAAUAUUAAAAAAUGAAAUUGAAUUUUAAGUAAAAAUGCUUAAAUUUAUUUAAGGGACGAUAAGACCCUAUAGAAUUUUAUAAUUUAAUUAAAUUUUAUAGAUACAUUAUUAAUAUAAAAUUUAAUUAUUUUAUUUUAUUGGGGUGAUAUUUAAAUUUAAUAAACUUUAAAUAAGAAAAACAUAAAUUAAUGAAAAAAUUAUGAAAUUGUAUUAUAAAUUAAUAGAAAAAUUACCUUAGGGAUAACAGCAUUAUAUCUUUAGGAAGAUCUUAUUUUUAAAGGUGUUUGUGACCUCGAUGUUGAAUUAAGAUAAAUUUUAAAUGCAGAAGUUUAAAUAUUAAGUCUGUUCGACUUUUAAAAUCUUACAUGAUUUGAGUUCAGAUCGGUGUAAGCCAGAUCGGUUUCUAUCUUUAAAUAAAAAUAAUAUUUUUGUACGAAAGGACCAAAUAUUUUUAAUAAAUUAAUUUUAAUUAAUAAAUAAAUA
rnacentral:rRNA from 1 species